UGAGUCUCGUAGAGGGGGGGUAGAAUUCCCAGGUGUAGCGGUGAAAUGCGUAGAGAUCUGGAGGAAUACCCGGUGGGCGAAGGCGGCCCCCUGGACGAAGACUGACCGCUCAGGUGCGAAAGCGUGGGGAGCAAACAGGAUUAGAUACCCCUGGUAGUCCACGCCGUAAACGAUGUCGACUUGGAGGUUGUGCCCUUGAGGCGUGGCUUCCCGGAGCUAACGCGUUAAGUCGACCGCCUGGGGAGUACGGCCGCAAGGUUAAAACUCAAAUGAAUUGACGGGGGCCCGCACAAGCGGUGGAGCAUGUGGUUUAAUUCGAUGCAACGCGAAGAACCUUACCUGGUCUUGACAUCCACAGAACUUUCCAGAGAUGGAUUGGUGCCUUCGGGAACUGUGAGACAGGUGCUGCAUGGCUGUCGUCAGCUCGUGUUGUGAAAUGUUGGGUUAAGUCCCGCAACGAGCGCAACCCUUAUCCUUUGUUGCCAGCGGUCCGGCCGGGAACUCAAAGGAGACUGCCAGUGAUAAACUGGAGGAAGGUGGGGAUGACGUCAAGUCAUCAUGGCCCUUACGACCAGGGCUACACACGUGCUACAAUGGCGCAUACAAAGAGAAGCGACCUCGCGAGAGCAAGCGGACCUCAUAAAGUGCGUCGUAGUCCGGAUUGGAGUCUGCAACUCGACUCCAUGAAGUCGGAAUCGCUAGUAAUCGUGGAUCAGAAUGCCACGGUGAAUACGUUCCCGGGCCUUGUACACACCGCCCGUCACACCAUGGGAGUGGGUUGCAAAAGAAGUAGGUAGCUAACCUUCGGGAGGGCGCUUACCAC
rnacentral:rRNA from 1 species